rnacentral:rRNA from 1 species
UUAGCAUGGAAUAAUGGAAUAGGACGUAUGGUUCUAUUUUGUUGGUUUCUAGGACCAUCGUAAUGAUUAAUAGGGACGGUCGGGGGCAUCAGUAUUCAGUUGUCAGAGGUGAAAUUCUUGGAUUAACUGAAGACUAACUACUGCGAAAGCAUUUGCCAAGGACGUUUUCAUUAAUCAAGAACGAAAGUUAGGGGAUCGAAGAUGAUCAGAUACCGUCGUAGUCUUAACCAUAAACUAUGCCGACUAGGGAUCGGGUGGCGCUAUUUUGCCCACUCGGCACCUUACGAGAAAUCAAAGUUUUUGGGUUCUGGGGGGAGUAUGGUCGCAAGGCUGAAACUUAAAGGAAUUGACGGAAGGGCACCACCAGGAGUGGAGCCUGCGGCUUAAUUUGACUCAACACGGGGAAACUCACCAGGUCCAGACGUAAUAAGGAUUGACAAGUUAGAGACUUCUCUUGAUCUUACGGGUGGUGGUGCAUGGCCGUUUUUAGUCCUUGGAGUGAUUUGUCUGCUUAAUUGCGAUAACGGACGAGACCUUAACCUGCUAAAUAGGGCUGCGAGCAUCUGCUCGUGGGCUCUUCUUAGAGGGACUAUGGGUAUCAAACCCAUGGAAGUUUGAGGCAACAACAGGUCUGUGAUGCCCUUAGACGUUCUGGGCCGCACGCGCGCUACACUGACGGAGCCAGCGAGUUUAUAACCUUAACUGAGAAGUUUGGGUAAUCUUGUGAAACUCCGUCGUGCUGGGGAUAGAGCAUUGCAAU